CCUACGGGAGGCAGCAGUGGGGAAUUUUGGACAAUGGGGGAAACCCUGAUCCAGCCAUGCCGCGUGCAGGAUGAAGGCCUUCGGGUUGUAAACUGCUUUUGUACGGAACGAAAAGGUCCUUUCUAAUAAAGAGGGCUCAUGACGGUACCGUAAGAAUAAGCACCGGCUAACUACGUGCCAGCAGCCGCGGUAAUACGUAGGGUGCGAGCGUUAAUCGGAAUUACUGGGCGUAAAGCGUGCGCAGGCGGUUAUAUAAGACAGAUGUGAAAUCCCCGGGCUCAACCUGGGAACUGCAUUAGUGACUGUAUAGCUGGAGUGCGGCAGAGGGGGAUGGAAUUCCGCGUGUAGCAGUGAAAUGCGUAGAUAUGCGGAGGAACACCGAUGGCGAAGGCAAUCCCCUGGGCCUGCACUGACGCUCAUGCACGAAAGCGUGGGGAGCAAACAGGAUUAGAUACCCUGGUAGUCCACGCCCUAAACGAUGUCAACUGGUUGUUGGGAAUUCACUUUCUCAGUAACGAAGCUAACGCGUGAAGUUGACCGCCUGGGGAGUACGGCCGCAAGGUUAAAACUCAAAUGAAUUGACGG
rnacentral:rRNA from 1 species